AUACUUACCUGGACGGGGUAAGCGGCCUCCAUUGCACUUGGGAGGAGCUCUUGCCUACCAUCUCCUCAAGUAGGAGGGUGGACGCCAUAAUUUGUGGUGGAGGGGUAUUGGUUUGUGCGUCUACCAA
rnacentral:snRNA from 1 species